AAAAUCAACUGAGAACCUUGUGAUGGAGAAUCAAAAAAAUAAAAACUCAAGAUUGAAUGAUAAGGGAAGUGGAAGUAGCAGAAGCCGACCCU